AAUCGAACCCGGAGAUAGCUGGUUCUCCUCGAAAUAGCUUUAGGGCUAGCCCCGUAUUAGUUUAGCGGAGGUAGAGCACUGAAUUCCUAAGGGGGCGUCAAAGCUUACCAAGGGAUAUCAAACUCCGAAUGCCGCAUAAAUGAUGUACGGGAGUCAGACUGCACGAGAUAAGUUGGGCAGUCAAAAGGGAAAGAGCCCAGACCUACAGCUAAGGUCCCAAAGUGUGUGUUAAGUGGAAAAGGAUGUGGGAUUUCAGAGACAACUAGGAUGUUGGCUUAGAAGCAGCCACACAUUCAAAGAGUGCGUAAUAGCUCACUAGUCGAGAGGUCCUGCGCCGAAAAUGUCCGGGGCUGAAACACAACACCGAAGCUUAGGAAUGUAGUAAUACAUUGGUAGAGGAGCAUUCUUAAAGGAAUGAAGCAGUACCGAUAAGGAGCUGUGGACUUUUAAGAAGAGAGAAUGCCGGAAUGAGUAGCGAGAUGGAGGUGGGAAUCCUCCAGGCCGAAUAUCCAAGGUUUCCAGAGUAAAGCUGAUCUGCUCUGGGUAAGUCGGGGCCUAAGGUAAGGCUGAGAAGCGUAGCCGAUGGACAACAGGUUGAGAUUCCUGUACCGCGUAUCAUCAGAACUGUGGGGACACAGAAGGACAGCACAACCCGGGAAUGGAAAGACCGGGGCAAGCAGGGUAGGAGUUAAGCUGGCAAAUCCGCUUAACAAUCCGAAGCUGUGAUGCGGAGCGAAUUUAAGUAGUGAAGUGUGCGAUUCCGGCUGUCAAGAAAAGCCGCUAUUGUGUGAUACGUGCCCGUACCGUAAACCGACACAGGUAGAUGAGGAGAGAAUCCUAAGGCCGGCGGGAGAAGCAUUGUUAAGGAACUCGGCAAAAUGACCCUGUAACUUCGGGAGAAAGGGUGCCUGGGAAACCAGGCCGCAGAGAAUAGGCUCAAGCAACUGUUUAGCAAAAACACAGGUCUAUGCAAAACCGUAAGGUGAGGUAUAUGGGCUGACGCCUGCCCGGUGCUGGAAGGUUAAGAGGAGAGGUUAGAGCAAUCGAAGCUUUGAAUUGAAGCCCCAGUAAACGGCGGCCGUAACUAUAACGGUCCUAAGGUAGCGAAAUUCCUUGUCGGGUAAGUUCCGACCCGCACGAAAGGCGUAAUGAUUUGAGCGCUGUCUCGACAAUGCACCCGGUGAAAUUGAAAUACCAGUGAAGAUGCUGGUUACCUGCGCCAGGACGGAAAGACCCCAUGGAGCUUUACUCCAGCUUGAUACUGGGAUUCGGUACUGCAUGUACAGGAUAGGUGGGAGACUGAGAACUAUGAACGCCAGUUUGUAGGGAGUCGCUGUUGGGAUACCACCCUUGCGGUAUUGGAUUUCUAACCUGCAGCCGUGAACCGGCUGGGGGACAAUGUCAGGCGGGGAGUUUGACUGGGGCGGUCGCCUCCGAAAGGGUAUCGGAGGCGCUCAAAGGUUCCCUCAGAAUGGUUGGAAACCAUUCGAAGAGUGCAAAGGCAGAAGGGAGCUUGACUGCGACACCGACGGGUGGAGCAGGUACGAAAGUAGGACUUAGUGAUCCGGUGGUAUAAAGUGGGAUUGCCAUCGCUCAACGGAUAAAAGCUACCCUGGGGAUAACAGGCUUAUCACUCCCAAGAGUUCACAUCGACGGAGUGGUUUGGCACCUCGAUGUCGGCUCAUCGCAUCCUGGGGCUGUAGUAGGUCCCAAGGGUUGGGCUGUUCGCCCAUUAAAGCGGUACGCGAGCUGGGUUCAGAACGUCGUGAGACAGUUCGGUCCCUAUCCGGCGCGGGCGUAAGAUAUUUGAGAGGAGCUGUCCUUAGUACGAGAGGACCGGGAUGGACGGGCCGCUGGUGUACCUGUUGGAGUGCCAACUCCAUGGCAGGGUAGCCAAGCCCGGACGGGAUAAACGCUGAAGGCAUCUAAGCGUGAAGCCCCCCUCAAGAUGAGAUAUCUCAUACGCAAGUAGUAAGACCCCUUGA
rnacentral:rRNA from 1 species